AUUUAUGUACGUUUUAGUUCAUUCUAUUGCACUCGAAACUUCCUAUAAAGUCAAGGCAAACAAGUGUGUCAUAGGUCAGCCAAGCUGGUCUGCCAAAGUUCACUACAAAGUUCAACCCAGUCUAUUGCAAUCCCUAAGUAAGAGAUCCGAAGAAGAUUGACAUUUGAAAUGCUUUUUACUGAAGCUCUCUUCAAAUACCCCAUUGAAUUCGCAAUAGUCAAUUUAGACACUCGUUUGCAUCCAUUUUUACUGCAUUCACCGAUUAUCUAAGAAAAAGGAACCUGAUUAGUUAAACUGAUUAGUUGUUACUGUUAAAGUCACACAUGUCGACAGCACUCGCAACAGCCCUUCAAGAAUGGGAGAUUCAAGAGAAAGAAUUCCAGAAGCUUCAGGAGAUCCAUCGACUCUACUUGCAGAAGUUAGAUGAAGCCUCCAAACUUCAAAAGAACUUUGCUGCCUCCAUAGCUCGACAAAGAAAGAAUUGAAAAGAGACAUCUAAGUGAAGAAUAAUAGGAGAAGAAUGCUGUGGAGGAGGUCAAAGGUCAUAUCCAGGAUAUGCCAAAUGUUUUCUUUCAAAUGGAAGCAUCUCUUCCUAAGAAAAAUGGGAUCUAUCUUAGCCUUGUCCCUGGCAGUGUGAAUGUCAACCUCCUGAGCAAAGAGUCCAAGCAUGUAUUUAUAUAGGCCACUUAUUCUGUGCAUGCCAAUAAAUUUAUGUCCAGACAUUAGCAUAAAGUCCAAAGAGUACUGUCCCAGUAUAUCAUAGUUUUCUCAUAAUUAAAGGUACACUCAGUAAUAUUUUCCUCAUUAAAAAGAUUUACCUAAAGAAAUUAAUAGUAAUUUUGAAACAUAGGUAUAAAUCAUGAGCAAUCAUAUUAGAUAAAGACUCCAGUCAUAUCAGUAACCUUAUAAAAGCUGUUUUAUUCUAAAUGGAGAAGUUGCCCUCAUGGGGGCUGCGAUAUUAGAAUCACAUGACCAGCCGAAUACUACUCGCUUAUUCUCAGUAACCACCUUGAUAUUGGACACUUUCACUCUUGUAUUAAAGUAAUCAUGGCUGACUGUGUAUAGUGAAUUUCUACAGUGGCAUCUGAAUAAAAACUAUUGAUUUUGAAUGAUGCUGCAUCCAAGCCGCUAGGUGUCACUAUACAUUCAAGAUGACACAAAUGCAAAAGUUACUGAGUGCACCUUUAAAUGAAUACUAUGAGAAAUAACUAUGUUAUAUAUGUAAUUGGCUCAUAUUUUAAACUGUAUCAUAUGCCUUUACUCCUUUACUGUAGAGCUGAAUAUAAAGAUGAAUAUGAAAGGUUCAAGCUGUAUGUGACCAUGACUCAGUUUCUGCUGACCUUCAUGUUUCGCUUCUUCAUUAGUUACAGAGAUGUGGAUGCCCUUCUUAACUUCCUAUUGGUUGGUACUAUUGCACCCUGACAAUCCAUGAAAGCAUCCUCAUCAGCAAUGGAUACAGAGGGAUUUCAGUCUUGGAUGAGGAGGGGACUGACAUUUCUUCUUCCCUUUCUUUUCUUGGGUCAAUUCUGGCAGCUUUGGAACAGUAUAUCCCUUUUCAGAAUGGCUCGGCUCACUGAGUAAAGAAUGGCAGGUGUCCAUGAUUUGCUUCUGCUUUCUGGUUCUGUUUAUGGGAACAUUUUUCACUACACUUGCAGUUGUCCAUCACAAGCGCAAGAACCAGGGAAAGACCAAGACCAAGCUGUGAAUUUUUGGAACUUUAAUGUAAAAAUUCAAAUGAAGAUUAAAUCAAUUUGUCUUUAAAAUUAGAAUGAAAAUUCUAGUUCAAAAUGUGUGUUACCAUAAACUGUACUUCAUCAUCUCACUAUUUUGUAGAGAAUAAGCAGAAUAUAUAUAU